rnacentral:rRNA from 1 species
AACGAACGCUGGCGGCGCGCCUAAUACAUGCAAGUCGAGCGAGAAGACGUAGCAAUACGUUUGUAAAGCGGCGAACGGGUGAGGAAUACAUGGGUAACCUACCCUCGAGUGGGGAAUAACUAGCCGAAAGGUUAGCUAAUACCGCGUACGCUCCUUGGACUUCGGUUCAGGGAGGAAAGCGAUACCGUGGGUAUCGCGCUCUUGGAUGGGCUCAUGUCCUAUCAGCUUGUUGGUGAGGAACGGCUCACCAAGGCUUCGACGGGUAGCUGGUCUGAGAGGACAAUCAGCCACACUGGCACUGCGACACGGGCCAGACUCCUACGGGAGGCAGCAGUAAGGAAUAUUGCGCAAUGGGCGAAAGCCUGACGCAGCGACGCCGCGUGGGGGAUGAAGGUCUUCGGAUUGUAAACCCCUUUCGGGAGGGAAGAUGGAACGAGCAAUCGUUCGGACGGUACCUCCAGAAGCAGCCACGGCUAACUUCGUGCCAGCAGCGCCGU